GCAAGUCGAGCGGUAAGGCCUCUUCGGGGGUACACGAGCGGCGAACGGGUGAGUAACACGUGAGUAAUCUGCCCUUCACUUCGGGAUAACUACCGGUAACGGUGGCUAAUACCGGAUAUGACCAGUACUCAUUGUGUGUGGUGGAAAGUUCUGGCGGUGAAGGAUGUGCUCGCGGCCUAUCAGCUUGUUGGUGAGGUAAUGGCUCACCAAGGCUUCGACGGGUAGCCGGCCUGAGAGGGUGACC
rnacentral:rRNA from 1 species